rnacentral:rRNA from 1 species
GGGGAAUAUUGGACAAUGGGGGGAACCCUGAUCCAGCCAUGCCGCGUGUGUGAAGAAGGCCUUAUGGUUGUAAAGCACUUUAAGCGAGGAGGAGGCUACUAGUAUUAAUACUACUGGAUAGUGGACGUUACUCGCAGAAUAAGCACCGGCUAACUCUGUGCCAGCAGCCGCGGUAAUACAGAGGGUGCGAGCGUUAAUCGGAUUUACUGGGCGUAAAGCGUGCGUAGGCGGCUUUUUAAGUCGGAUGUGAAAUCCCCGAGCUUAACUUGGGAAUUGCAUUCGAUACUGGGAAGCUAGAGUAUGGGAGAGGAUGGUAGAAUUCCAGGUGUAGCGGUGAAAUGCGUAGAGAUCUGGAGGAAUACCGAUGGCGAAGGCAGCCAUCUGGCCUAAUACUGACGCUGAGGUACGAAAGCAUGGGGAGCAAACA